UGGCUCAGUAGGUAGAGCAUGGUGUUUGCAACGCCAGGGUUGUGGGUUUGAUUCCCAU
rnacentral:tRNA from 1 species